rnacentral:tRNA from 1 species
GGCCAGUUAGCUCAGUCGGUUGGAGCGUGGUGCUGAUAACACCGAGAUCGCGGGUUUGACCCCCGUUCAGUCCC